rnacentral:rRNA from 1 species
AACGAACGCUGGCGGCAGGCUUAACACAUGCAAGUCGAACGGUUGCAGCAAUGCAGCAGUGGCAGACGGGUGAGUAACACGUGGGAACCUUCCUAGGGGUACGGAACAAGUCAGGGAAACUUGAGCUAAUACCGUAUACGUCCUUGAGGAGAAAGAUUUAUCGCCCUUAGACGGGCCCGCGUCGGAUUAGCCAGUUGGUGGGGUAACGGCCUACCAAGGCGACGAUCCGUAGCUGAUCUUAGAGGAUGAUCAGCCACACUGGGACUGAGACACGGCCCAGACUCCUACGGGAGGCAGCAGUGGGGAAUCUUGGACAAUGGGCGCAAGCCUGAUCCAGCCAUGCCGCGUGAGUGAAGAAGGUCUUCGGAUUGUAAAGCUCUUUUGCCAGGGACGAUAAUGACGGUACCUGGAGAAUAAGCCCCGGCAAACUUCGUGCCAGCCGCCGCCGUAA